rnacentral:rRNA from 1 species
CGCGAGUAACCUGCCUCUAAGAGGGGAAUAACAUUCUGAAAAGAAUGCUAAUACCGCAUAACAUAUAUUUAUCGCAUGGUAGAUAUAUCAAAGAUUUAUCGCUUAGAGAUGGACUCGCGUCCGAUUAGUUAGUUGGUGAGGUAACGGCUCACCAAGACUGCGAUCGGUAGCCGGACUGAGAGGUUGAACGGCCACAUUGGGACUGAGACACGGCCCAG